AAUCCCUCUCUCCUUGUCCUCUCAAUGGACAUGAUAUGAAAUAAUCCCUGCCAGGGAUUAUAAAUCUGCGUGACCCUGGACCUCGAGGUCCUGUGGCUUGUGGGAAAGUCACCAUCAUGGAAAGUCAUCUUCAGCAGGAAUGAAGAUUACUGCUGGCUCCUAUUACUAUAGACCAACUCUGCUAAACAGAAAAGGAAUGGACUGAAAAGCUGGCCUGUGGUUCAGGAAUACCAGGAGCCUUGAGAAGCAGGCUGGAUGAAAGCCAGGAACGAGGAAGGCCAGGCAGCUGCGGGGCCACAGCCCUGAUCUUGCCAGUGAGAUGUGGCCAUCACAUGUGGUACAGCAUCUACUGCUCCCGGAAACUGAAUAUUGCUGUGGUUGCCGCUGUCACUGCUGUGGACUCUACCGUUCUCACUGCUGUGGGUCAGUAGCUGACAAUUCAAAAAGCUGGGCUAGGAGCAUCUGAUCGGUUAAACCUCCAUCACACACUUGCACUUUAACUGCAAAGGAGGCUGGAAGCGGGCUGGGUAAAGGGGAGACUAGGAAAUAAAGCACCUGGAUAUCCUC